GAUAAAUUUUGCUGCACCCUUCUCUCCAAAUUCUGAAUUGAAAGCUCCAUCGUGUUCUUCUCUCCGUUGGGUUGGGUAGUUUGAAUCAACGACUCCAUCGGUUAUCGACUCCAACUCCGUCGGUUAUCGACUCCGACUCCAACUCAUAUCGACUUCUCCUCUGUUCCUAUUGGCUUCUUCUUCUUCUUCUCCAACGAAUUACUUGAUUAGGGACCCUUGGACUCAUGGAGAGUGAGCAACACAACUAAGUUGUAAUGACAUGCUAUAGUAGAGACAUUGCUACACAGUUUGUUAUUCUUCUAGUAUAUUUGAUUGGUGGAAUAGUGAUCAGUGUCUUUAUUGGAAGGGGUUUGGUGACGUUAAACUUCUUGCAGUAGAAAAUGGAAGCAAAUUUUCAUUAUGGACUUGUGCGCGUUCGAGAAAAUGUUGAAUCGAUAGCUUUCUAUAGUGCAAUUGUUGAUAGCUUCAAGAAAUCUUGAGUUUUUCACCAGCGGAAAUCUUGAGUUUUUCACCAGUGGAUACUGCUAUCUUAUUCAAAUUCUUCAUGCUGCUGUCGUUGCUCCUUGUACCUCUCUAGAAAAAUUGAGCUUGGUGUCAUUAAUCAGUCAGUAUCGGCUUUUAAUCAUAUCCUGGGGGACUUCUCCCUCACCGUGUACCAAUUUCAGUCUAUAAGCGCAUUUUCAGUAGUAAUUGAUCGACUUGAUGAAUUUGAUGAUUAUUUGGAUAUCAGCUCUCAACACCAUUCUGACCCUGCAAAAGGGAUAAGUCUUACGUAUAGUAAUGUUAAAACUUUAGUUGAACUGGAGCCAAAUGGAUCCAUACCCAUAGAUAAGCAACAAAAGCUACUGGACAUAGAGAAUUUGACUGUGCAAACACCAAGUAGCACUACGUUGGUUAGGGAUUUAUCAUUGGUAAUCAACAAUAAUGAGAAUCUAUUGGUGACAGGACCUAGCGGGAGUGGUAAGACUUAUUUGUUAAGAAUUUUGGCUGGUCUUUGGAGUGUUGGAAGAGGAAAGAUUACAUUCUAUGUGGAAGAUGAAGAAGAGCUUGUACCAUCCAAUUCUCCAGGUGUAGGUCCUCUUGGUACUGCUAAUGAUAAAUAUGGGGAACAUGAAAGACCCUCAAAUAGGAGUUAUAAGGGCAUAUUUUUUGUUCCUGUGAAGCGGAAAGACGAGCAAUGCCACCUGCAGAUGAAUUGAUGGCUGUGAAGUCUACUACAGCUCAGCAAAAUGAGGAGUUAGAGACGGUCAAAGCUGGUGCAGCUUAACAAAAUGAAGAGUUAGAGGCAGUGAAGGUUAGAGCCGCUCAACAAAAUGAAGAGUUGGAGGCACUAAAGGCAAGACAAAAUCAGACUGACACACUUUUACUCAAAUUAAUGGCGUAGUUGUCCUCCCAAAAAAGAAGGUGCAGCAUUGAAAAAAUUGGCAGAUGAAAAGGGCAUCAAGCAACAUACAUAUCAUUGAAGGCUUAUUGAACUUCUAGAAAGACUUGUAUGUAUUUCUUUUUAUUAUGAAAUGGCUAUCAAGGAUGGAUAUUGAUAUUUGUAUAUUUUGGAUUUAGAAAGUUAGUAUUUCAAGAUAGAGGUUGAUGUUUAUUAUUGGACUGAUAUAAUCAACCCUUGUUAAGCAGCAAUUUUACAGUACAUUUUCAUAUGGUGGUUUUGGAAUAUGCAAGGCUACUAUGAUCCGUUUAUUGCAUAAAGAAUUGACCGUUGUUCACAUAUUUGAUUUGUAGUGACAUUGAAUGACC
rnacentral:lncRNA from 1 species